rnacentral:rRNA from 1 species
GAAGUGCGAAUGCUGACAUAAGUAACGAUAAAGCGGGUGAAAAGCCCGCUCGCCGGAAGACCAAGGGUUCCUGUCCAACGUUAAUCGGGGCAGGGUGAGUCGACCCCUAAGGCGAGGCCGAAAGGCGUAGUCGAUGGGAAACGGGUUAAUAUUCCCGUACUUGGUGUUACUGCGAAGGGGGGACGGAGAAGGCUAUGUUGGCCGGGCGACGGUUGUCCCGGUUUAAGCGUGUAGGUGUGUGUUCCAGGUAAAUCCGGUUCACUUUAACACUG